GCUCCAGACUCCUACGGGAGGCAGCAGUGGGGAAUAUUGCACAAUGGGGGAAACCCUGAUGCAGCGACGCCGCGUGAGUGAAGAAGUAUUUCGGUAUGUAAAGCUCUAUCAGCAGGGAAGAGAAUGACGGUACCUGAGUAAGAAGCCCCGGCUAACUACGUGCCAGCAGCCGCGGUAAUACGUAGGGGGCAAGCGUUAUCCGGAUUUACUGGGUGUAAAGGGAGCGUAGACGGCGAAGAAAGUCUGAAGUGAAAGCCCGCGGCUCAACCGCGGAACUGCUUUGGAAACUUUUUUGCUGGAGUACCGGAGAGGUAAGCGGAAUUCCUAGUGUAGCGGUGAAAUGCGUAGAUAUUAGGAGGAACACCAGUGGCGAAGGCGGCUUACUGGACGGUAACUGACGUUGAGGCUCGAAAGCGUGGGGAGCGAACAGGAUUAGAUACCCCAGUA
rnacentral:rRNA from 1 species